AAGAAAUUAGUUAAAUAAUAACAUUAAAAUGUCAAUUUAAAAUUACCAAAAGGUAUUUCUUG
rnacentral:tRNA from 1 species